rnacentral:rRNA from 1 species
GCAGUCGAGCGGAUGAGAGGAGCUUGCUCCUUGAUUCAGCGGCGGACGGGUGAGUAAUGCCUAGGAAUCUGCCUGGUAGUGGGGGACAACGUUUCGAAAGGAACGCUAAUACCGCAUACGUCCUACGGGAGAAAGCAGGGGACCUUCGGGCCUUGCGCUAUCAGAUGAGCCUAGGUCGGAUUAGCUAGUUGGUGAGGUAAUGGCUCACCAAGGCUACGAUCCGUAACUGGUCUGAGAGGAUGAUCAGUCACACUGGAACUGAGACACGGUCCAGACUCCUACGGGAGGCAGCAGUGGGGAAUAUUGGACAAUGGGCGAAAGCCUGAUCCAGCCAUGCCGCGUGUGUGAAGAAGGUCUUCGGAUUGUAAAGCACUUUAAGUUGGGAGGAAGGGCAUUAACCUAAUACGUUAGUGUCUUGACGUUACCGACAGAAUAAGCACCGGCUAACUCUGUGCCAGCAGCCGCGGUAAUACAGAGGGUGCAAGCGUUAAUCGGAAUUACUGGGCGUAAAGCGCGCGUAGGUGGUUUGUUAAGUUGAAUGUGAAAUCCCCGGGCUCAACCUGGGAACUGCAUCCAAAACUGGCAAGCUAGAGUAUGGUAGAGGGUGGUGGAAUUUCCUGUGUAGCGGUGAAAUGCGUAGAUAUAGGAAGGAACACCAGUGGCGAAGGCGACCACCUGGACUGAUACUGACACUGA